GACAAACGCUGGCGGCGUGCAUAAAACAUGCAAGUCGAACGGACUUCAGUCCGCAAGGACUGAAGUGAGUGGCGAACGGCUGAGUAACACGUAGGUGACCUGCCCCGAAGUUUGGGAUAACACCUCGAAAGAGGUGCUAAUACCGGAUGUGACCACCGAUUCAUUUCGGUGCUUAAAGUCGCAAGACGCUUUGGGAGGGGCCUGCGGCGGAUUAGCUAGUUGGUGUGGUAACGGCACACCAAGGCUUCGAUCCGUAGCUGGUCUGAGAGGAUGGCCAGCCAGACUGGGACUGAGACACGGCCCAGACUCCUACGGGAGGCAGCAGUUAGGAAUUUUGCGCAAUGGAGGAAACUCUGACGCAGCCACGCCGCGUGAGGGAUGAAGGCCU
rnacentral:rRNA from 1 species